rnacentral:misc_RNA from 1 species
GAAAUGCGAUACUUGGUGUGAAUUGCAGAAUCCCGUGAACCAUCGAGUCUUUGAACGCAAGUUGCGCCCGAAGCCAUUAGGCCGAGGGCACGCCCGGGGCUACCCGCUGAGUUUAA